rnacentral:lncRNA from 1 species
GUUUUGGAUACAGCUGAUCAUCACGCAAACGAUUUAUUUCUGAAACAGUUGAAUCCAUAGAUUGCAUGUCAACAAUGUAUCGAGUAUGCAAAUGACUAACAGCUGCUUUCAUUCUCUCUAAAGCUUCUGUAUUUGAGUCACGUUUCUUUAGUUUAGUCAAUGAAGUAACCUUUCGUUGAUAUUCCAGUUUCAUUUGUUCACCUGCCUGAAGAACAUCAUCGGUGCAACAAUAAUUCAUUAGGAGGAAGCAUCUGAGAUUUGUACUCUUAUUACAUACUAAUGUGACAAAUGAGAGAAAAGUCCACAAGCACAACAUGUAUUAUGGUCACAAAUGGAAGAAAAAUGAACCAGAUAUAUAUCAACUAAAAAUUGGGUGGAGGGAACAGGUACAAACAAGAAAAGGCAGCAGCAGCAUAAGAAAGCAAGCUAAUCAAAUUAAACCUAAGCAACUCAUUGCUUUAGCAAAUCGAACAUAUUGAAUGACAAAACAAGAAGGAAAAAUACAAGGCAAAAUGAUUAAAAAAUGUCACCCCACAUACU